GUCCUUUCAGUUUUGCACAUGGAAGAAGAAGGUCGUUUGCAAAUAGAUGCGAGGUUAUCAUAAUGACUAUUUGUUUUGUGACCUGCUACAAUUUAAUCCUGGAGUGUUGAGGUGUUUAUUUGUGUGUUACUGGAAGGUGUACACUUAAACGAGAGGUAAAAGAGCAGGUCGAUAUCCGAAGGUAAUAUGAAUUAUUAAAUUGGUAAUAUGUCUUGCAAAUUUAUGUAGGUAAUUAUGUGGUUUCCCACGCGAAUUUUGAUAGCAAUGCAUUCCUUUGUAAUGCAGGGUUAAAAAUCGACAUGUGUAAACAUCACUGCUAGUAGUGUAGCAGACGAUUUCUGUAUACAAGUGGCGAGUUAUUCAUGAAUCUGUUAAACUAUAUAUGUAGUACAAUAAACACGUGGAAGAGUCUAUUAUUCAUGAUACCUGCUUACAAACAGAGUAGGGUUUAAGCAACUUUAUCAGAUUUAAUCUCGCUGAAAAUUUUCUUCUAAAGUGAAUUAAUUAAACUUCCAUUUCACAUAUAUAUUAAGCAAAGUUAAAUUUUCAUGAGCACGGAUCAAGUAAUUAAGUGCGCAUGUGUGAGGAAAAUAAGUAGUUUCACUUUUCAAUAUACCACCGUUUCUUGCAGUAUGUUUGUUUUUAGUCCUAAUGGCUAAUGUAUAUGGUUUGUAUAGAAGAAUAUUGUUAAUAAAAAUAUCAAAUGAAUAAAUAUAAAACAAGUUGGCUUCCUACAAAAAAAAACAAAAAAAAAAAAAAUGUAGUUAUAACUUAUUGUCAUUUGUAGAAGGAUGACUGUUUUUCAGAUCUUAAUCUAUAGUUAGCCUUUCAGAUCAUAAUCUAUAGUUAGCCCAAUUGCUAAUGUCUGAUUGUAUCAGCCGGUACUGCCUUAGGAAAAAGAGUGCCAUCCUUAUCCUUUAUAUUGGUUUGUAACUGGAUUUUGAAUUUAUGAUUACUGCUUAGGGAUGAAGAGAAAGUUGCUAUUAUCUCCAUUGUGUUGGAUGGUAUUUGAUUUUGAAUUUAUGAUUAAUGUAUAUUGACUGUGUUUCGCCCAUUUGGCUAUAUGUUCGAUCGUUUCUAAUAAAAAACAAAGAAAGUUGCUGUUAUCUCCAUUGUGUUGAAUGGUACUUGAUUUUGAAUUUAUGAUUAAUGUUGCUCUUCUAUAUUUUAGGCAUUACAGUUUUCAGCAGUAAUUUCCCUGACCAUUUUGAUUUUUAAGGAUAUGUGAGCUUGUACACACGAACUCAAACUCCUCGAAUAUAAGUGCUAAAGGUCACGCAUUAUGUGAGGGAGACGUUAGUAUUGUAAGUAUUGGUGUACUUCGCAUA
rnacentral:lncRNA from 1 species